AUUCCCGUACUUCUUACAAUUGCGAUGGGGGGACGGAGAAGGCUAGGUGGGCCUGGCGACGGUUGUCCAGGUUCAAGUGCGUAGGCUUGAGAGUUAGGUAAAUCCGGCUCUUUCUAAGGCUGAGACACGACGUCGAGCACCUACGGGUGUGAAGUCAUUGAUGCCAUGCUUCCAGGAAAAGCCUCUAAGCUUCAGAUUGU
rnacentral:rRNA from 1 species